UACGAGGGGGGCGAGCGUUGUUCGGAAUUAUUGGGCGUAAAGGGUGCGUAGGCGGCCUGACAAGUCUGAUGUGAAAUCCCUGGGCUCAACCCAGGGCCUGCAUCGGAAACUGUCGGGCUUGAGUAUGGGAGAGGUGAGUGGAAUUUCCGGUGUAGCGGUGAAAUGCGUAGAUAUCGGAAGGAACACCUGUGGCGAAAGCGGCUCACUGGACCAUUACUGACGCUGAAGCACGAAAGCUAGGGGAGCAAACAGG
rnacentral:rRNA from 1 species